rnacentral:SRP_RNA from 1 species
GCUGGGCAUGGUGGCGCGUGCCUGUAAUCCCAGCUACUCAGGAGGCUGAGGCAGGAGAAUUGCCUGAACCCAGGAGGCGGGAGGUUGCGGUGAGCCGAGAUCGUGCCAUUGCACUCCAGCCUGGGUAACAAGAGCGAAACUCCGUGUCAAAAAAAAAAAAAAAUACUACACCUUUCUAAUUUUUCCAUCAAAGUAACUUUUUUUUUUUGAGACCGAGUCUCUGUCACCCAGGCUGGAGUAUAGUGGUGGGAUCUCAGCUCACUGCAACCUCUGCCUCCUGGGUUCAGGUGAUUCUCCUGCCUCA